UCCUCUCCCUCCCUCCCUCUCUCUCUUUAGACAGCUCUGUGAAGACAGCCUGGUUCGCUGCCUCACCAUACUAAUGAGACUCAUCCAUCUGCCUCUGUCAUUGUCAGCCUCCCCUUUCUGCUGAAAGUCAGAGAUGAACGCUCAGGACAGGUCCUCUCUAGGCUGCAGUACUUAAUCAUUUCUAAACAUGCUAGAUGGCCUCAGGCAGCGAAGGCAACAGGCAUUUAACCCAGGCUUGGCAGCUAUGGCUUCUGUACAUUUUGGCUGUAAACCUUGAUAAUGAAAAGUAGCUGCGCUUUUACUCUCCACUUAACCAGAUGCUCUUUGCUUCUUGGGGCAAGAGGUUAAAUAGAUAUAAGAACCCAUGCUAGUUCAGAAGCCUUUCAUUUGAAGUCCUUGUAAGAACACGGAAGAGAGCACACUGCUCUUUUGAGCUGCAUCUCUUGGGACCUCAUAUUUAGGCAUCUGUCCACUAACUACUGGAAUAUAUAACCUUCUCACCCAAAGCUUCCUCUCUUUAAAGCCACAGUAAAUACACACCAGAGCCAUUUUUCUUCCAUGCAAUAAUGUGAUGUUCAGUUUUAGCAAUAAAACUGGACAGAAGGGGCUUUAUUAAUGCUAUUAACAAUAACACACAUAUAACAAUGAAGAUAAAACAUUUUCUUUCCAUUGCGGUUUGAACCCUGAUUUAUUUUUCCACUUCAUCUACCACUCCAUAUGUCUCCAGAAUCUGCCUUUUUCCCAGAGCUCACGUUGGUAUAAAGCAAUUGUCUGGGAUGUGUAAGAAUUAAGUAUCCCAUCAUUCAGACUAGACAUGCAAUUAGAAGAGUUCCACUAAUUUCUACUGCUGAGACCCUGUCACUUUAAUUUAUCCUUACUUUCCAGCAUUUAGGUCUUCCCUGGUUUGAGGCCAAGGGGUUUUUAUGUAGUUUCAAGCAAUGAUGGUGUUAGAAAAGCUGAAGCUGCAGGGGAGGAAUGCGACUGCGUGUGGUGGUGAUUCUUGGGGGAGAAAGGAGAGGUUGCAACGUAAAUUGGUUUGAUGCAAGAAAAGUAAAAGUGCAGCAAAUCUGUCACAAGGCGAGCAUGACCAUGAGAUGAUUAAGUUCGUAAAUUAAGAUCUUCUAGAGAGGACCUGCUCUCGGUCCCACCGGCCUCACAGAUGCAGCUGGUGGGGAUGAGAGAUAGGGCCUUCUCAGUGAUGGCCCCAUGGCUGUGAAACUCCCUCCCGAGUGAGAUCAGGUCGGCCCCCUCCCUCCUGACCUUUUGGAGACAACUAAAGACCUUGCUGUGAAACCAGGUGUUCGGCCCUUCAUAGGAAUAUUUAAAGUUGAAGUUGAAAGUGCAAUGACCCAGGACUGUUUAUGGACAAUAGCUAUGUUUUUGUGUGAUAGAUUAUGUUAUUUUAUGUGAUGUGUUGAAUAAUGUUUAAUGGUUUAUUAGGGGAGGGUCAACUUUGAUGUUUUAUACUGUUUUUUAUUGAGGGCAUUGAAUUGUUGCCAACACUGUGAACCGCCCUGAGUCCCCUUUCGGGUUGAGAAGGGCAGUAUAUAAAUACCACAAAUAAAGAAAUAAAUACAUGGAGAAAGGCAACCAGCCCAGAUGGCAAAUUCUGCAUGGCAGCACCAUUUGUCUCCUCCUCUAGAUUUAAGUACUGAAAUUGACACAUAGUAGCUAGUAGGCAUGUGCGAUCCAUGAAAAAAAUGGUUCAAUACUCGCUUCUAAAGUUGGGGGCGCUGGGGCUUUGUUUCUGAAACUACUUCCAAAUUUUGACCCAAUUUUUUUUGAAACUUAACGAAUAUUCAGAAUAUUCGUGAUUAAUUCAUUAAUGUUGGACACACAUGUGCAAUGGCCAAAAACAGCACUGGUGGGGACUUUACAGGGCUCUCCCACCCUCAUGUUUUAACCUAUCCUCUUUGAACUUGGUAUAGUAGUGGAAAACAUGCAACACUGCUAGCUCACCAAAAUUCAGAACGUUUCCCUUAUCCUCUGAUUUUUGGUGAAUUUUCAUAGCUUAUAAAAGAAACUAUUUUUAAUAAUUGCAGAAAUCUGUUCCUGGUUUGAAAGUCUUAUUUCCUGUUUCAUUGGGUUGUAUUUACUUUGAAAGUCAUUGUUCUACUUCAGAAA
rnacentral:lncRNA from 1 species